GCUUGGCUGAAUACUGUGUUCUUUUUCUCAGUAGUUUACACAGCCAGACAUCAUACAAAAGUAAAGUCUUCCCUUUAAAGUGGCUAUGAUGGUACGCAAAGUGUCUUCAUAGCAUAUCAUUACUUUAAAAAAAAAGAU